CCUACGGGCGGCAGCAGUGGGGAAUAUUGGACAGUGGGCGAAAGCCUGAUCCAGCCAUGCCGCGUGUGUGAAGAAGGCCUUCGGGUUGUAAAGCACUUUCAGUGGGGAAGAAAGCCUUGGGGCUAAUACCCUCGAGGAAGGACAUCACCCACAGAAGAAGCACCGGCUAACUCCGUGCCAGCAGCCGCGGUAAUACGGAGGGUGCGAGCGUUAAUCGGAAUUACUGGGCGUAAAGCGCGCGUAGGCGGUCUGAUAAGCCGGUUGUGAAAGCCCCGGGCUCAACCUGGGAACGGCAUCCGGAACUGUCAGGCUAGAGUGCAGGAGAGGAAGGUAGAAUUCCCGGUGUAGCGGUGAAAUGCGUAGAGAUCGGGAGGAAUACCAGUGGCGAAGGCGGCCUUCUGGACUGACACUGACGCUGAGGUGCGAAAGCGUGGGUAGCAAACAGGAUUAGAUACCCCUGUAGUC
rnacentral:rRNA from 1 species